UCCGCCUCCCAGACUCGCUCCCUCUCACUGCGCGCCACCCUCCCCUCUGCCUCCGGCCUCCCCCUCCCUCCCCUGGCGAGGCGGCCUCCGCCGGACUCCCCCUCCCUCCGCCGGCCCGCCUCCCUGCCGGAUCUGGGGGCCGGCGCUCCUCCUCCACCGGCGGCCCCGGCCUGGUAGAGAAAGCGUGGGCGGUCAGAUCUCCGAUCCCCCCCCCCCCCGGCGCCCUCCGCCCCAACUGGCGGCCCUUGGUGCGCCGGCUCGGAGCCCUCGACCCCAACGCGCGGCGCCACUCCGCCCCGACGCGCGGCCCUCGGGACGCCGCCCCGCCGCGACGCACGGCCCUUGGGGUGCCGGCUCGGGGCCCUGCCGCUCCGCCGCGACGCGUGGGCCCUGGGGCGCCGGCUCAGGGCCCCGCCCCAUCGCCGACCCGCCCACAACGUCGGGCUCAGGGUCAAGUGCGCCAAGGAGGUGGACACAGCCAUCCGCGGCGCCAUCAUCCUCGCCAAGCUCUCGGUCGUGCCCGUCAGGAGGGGCUACUGGGGGGAACAAGAAGGUGCGCCAGUUCGCCGGCAUAGAUAAUGUCUUCACCUCCUCCCACGGCUCCACCAAGACGCUCGGUAACUUUGUCAAGGGAGCUAAUAUUCAUCAUAUUUUCUCUUUCUGGUUUUCUCUAAAAACAUGGGGAAGAAGUCACAGCCCCAGAUUACCAAGUGCAAGCAGGGGGGAACUGGACCAUGGUCACCUUCAAGUCUGAUCAGCUAACAGUGACUAUGUGGACCUGUAUAUGAAAUCUGCUAAUAGUGACAGACCUGCUGCUCUCUAAAGGGUUUAUGAGAAAGUCAAUGAUUGUUGGGAGGUGUGUGUUACUCUAAGUGUUACACUAACAGUCACGCUUUCUGUAGCAUGAAGAUCAGCUGGUCACGAGGAGCUCUGCAUCGAUAAUCAGAUAUAUUGUCUCUGGGCUGUAGAUAAGUGCUCCAAUCUCAAUAAAGUGAAAUAACAGGGGACUGGAGCAGCCGCCGCAUGGCCUAUUUAGCAACCUCUGUGUUGGCUGCUGACUUUAGUUUGCUAGGCAUCUAGAUUUAGCAUUUCAACUAUAUGAUGUAUGAGUAACUUGAAUGAUGUAUCAAGAUUUUUCAAUGUAACAGCUACUUGAAUGGUUAAAUGAGCUGCUAGUGACAGUAAUUUGAAUGGUUAAAUGAGAUUUUAGUAUGUAUGGCCUA